GACGAACGCUGGCGGCGUGCUUAACACAUGCAAGUCGAACGGAAAGGCCCUGCUUUUGUGGGGUGCUCGAGUGGCGAACGGGUGAGUAACACGUGAGUAACCUGCCCUUGACUUUGGGAUAACUUCAGGAAACUGGGGCUAAUACCGGAUAGGAGCUCCUGCUGCAUGGUGGGGGUUGGAAAGUUUCGGCGGUUGGGGAUGGACUCGCGGCUUAUCAGCUUGUUGGUGGGGUAGUGGCUUACCAAGGCUUUGACGGGUAGCCGGCCUGAGAGGGUGACCGGCCACCUUGGGACUGAGGUACGGCCCAGACUCCUACGGGAGGCAGCAGUGGGGAAUAUUGCACAAUGGGCGCACGCCUGAUGCAGCAACGCCGCGUGCGGGAUGACGGCCUUCGGGUUGUAAACCGCUUUCGCCUGUGACGAAGCGUGAGUGACGGUAAUGGGUAAAGAAGCACCGGCUAACUACGUG
rnacentral:rRNA from 1 species